UACGUAGGGGGCUAGCGUUGUCCGGAUUUAUUGGGCGUAAAGAGCGUGUAGGCGGCCAGGUAGGUCUGGUGUGAAAACUCGAGGCUUAACCUCGAGAUGUCAUCGGAAACCAUCUGGCUAGAGUCCGGAAGAGGAGAGUGGAAUUCCUGGUGUAGCGGUGAAAUGCGCAGAUAUCAGGAGGAACACCAACAGCGAAGGCAGAUCUCUGGGACGUAACUGACGCUGAGACGCGAAAGCGUGGGGAGCAAACAGG
rnacentral:rRNA from 1 species